AGAGUUUGAUCCUGGCUCAGGACGAACGCUGGCGGCGUGCCUAAUACAUGCAAGUAGAACGCUGAAGAGAGGAGCUUGCUCUUCUUGGAUGAGUUGCGAACGGGUGAGUAACGCGUAGGUAACCUGCCUUGUAGCGGGGGAUAACUAUUGGAAACGAUAGCUAAUACCGCAUAACAAUGGGUGACACAUGUCAUUUAUUUGAAAGGGGCAAUUGCUCCACUACAAGAUGGACCUGCGUUGUAUUAGCUAGUAGGUGAGGUAACGGCUCACCUAGGCGACGAUACAUAGCCGACCUGAGAGGGUGAUCGGCCACACUGGGACUGAGACACGGCCCAGACUCCUACGGGAGGCAGCAGUAGGGAAUCUUCGGCAAUGGGGGCAACCCUGACCGAGCAACGCCGCGUGAGUGAAGAAGGUUUUCGGAUCGUAAAGCUCUGUUGUAAGUCAAGAACGAGUGUGAGAGUGGAAAGUUCACACUGUGACGGUAGCUUACCAGAAAGGGACGGCUAACUACGUGCCAGCAGCCGCGGUAAUACGUAGGUCCCGAGCGUUGUCCGGAUUUAUUGGGCGUAAAGCGAGCGCAGGCGGUUUGAUAAGUCUGAAGUUAAAGGCUGUGGCUCAACCAUAGUUCGCUUUGGAAACUGUCAAACUUGAGUGCAGAAGGGGAGAGUGGAAUUCCAUGUGUAGCGGUGAAAUGCGUAGAUAUAUGGAGGAACACCGGUGGCGAAAGCGGCUCUCUGGUCUGUAACUGACGCUGAGGCUCGAAAGCGUGGGGAGCGAACAGGAUUAGAUACCCUGGUAGUCCACGCCGUAAACGGUGGAUGCUGGAUGUGGGGCCCGUUCCACGGGUUCCGUGUCGGAGCUAACGCGUUAAGCAUCCCGCCUGGGGAGUACGGCCGCAAGGCUAAAACUCAAAGAAAUUGACGGGGGCCCGCACAAGCGGCGGAGCAUGCGGAUUAAUUCGAUGCAACGCGAAGAACCUUACCUGGGCUUGACAUGUUCCCGACGGUCGUAGAGAUACGGCUUCCCUUCGGGGCGGGUUCACAGGUGGUGCAUGGUCGUCGUCAGCUCGUGUCGUGA
rnacentral:rRNA from 1 species